ensembl:snRNA U6 U6 spliceosomal RNA
GUUUUCUUUGAUAGUACUUACACUAAAAUUGGGAUAAUACAGAAAAGAUUAGCAUGGUCCCUGCACAAGAAUGACAUGCAAAUUCAUGGGGUGUUCCAUAUUUUU